rnacentral:rRNA from 1 species
GACGAGGGAUCCUAGCGUUGUUCGGAAUCAUUGGGCGUAAAGCGGGUGUAGGUGGCUUUAUAAGUCGGGUGUGAAAGCCCUGGGCUCAACCCAGGAAGUGCAUUCGAUACUGUUUAGCUUGAGUGCGGGAGAGGUUACUAGAAUUCUUGGUGUAGUGGUGAAAUACGUAGAUAUCAAGAGGAAUACCGGAGGCGAAGGCGGGUAACUGGCCUAGCACUGACACUCAGACCCGAAAGCGUGGGGAUCAAACAGG